CGCGGUGAUACGUAGGGUGCGAGCGUUGUCCGGAUUUAUUGGGCGUAAAGGGCUCGUAGGUGGUUGAUCGCGUCGGAAGUGUAAUCUUGGGGCUUAACCCUGAGCGUGCUUUCGAUACGGGUUGACUUGAGGAAGGUAGGGGAGAAUGGAAUUCCUGGUGGAGCGGUGGAAUGCGCAGAUAUCAGGAGGAACACCAGUGGCGAAGGCGGUUCUCUGGGCCUUUCCUGACGCUGAGGAGCGAAAGCGUGGGGAGCGAACAGGCUUAGAUACCCUGGUAGUCCACGCUGUAAACGGUGGGUACUAGGUGUGGGGUCCAUUCCACGGGUUCCGUGCCGUAGCUAACGCUUUAAGUACCCCGCCUGGGGAGUACGGCCGCAAGGCUAAAACUCAAAGGAAUUGACGGGGCCCCGCACAAGCGGCGGAGCAUGCGGAUUAAUUCGAUGCAACGCGUAGAACCUUACCUGGGUUUGACAUGGAUCGGGAGUGCUCAGAGAUGGGUGUGCCUCUUUUGGGGUCGGUUCACAGGUGGUGCAUGGCUGUCGUCAGCUCGUGUCGUGAGAUGUUGGGUUAAGUCCCGCAACGAGCGCAACCCUUGUUCACUGUUGCCAGCACGUUAUGGUGGGGACUCAGUGGAGACCGCCGGGGUCAACUCGGAGGAAGGUGGGGAUGACGUCAAGUCAUCAUGCCCCUUAUGUCCAGGGCUUCACGCAUGCUACAAUGGCUGGUACAGAGAGUGGCGAGCCUGUGAGGGUGAGCGAAUCUCGGAAAGCCGGUCUCAGUUCGGAUUGGGGUCUGCAACUCGACCUCAUGAAGUCGGAGUCGCUAGUAAUCGCAGAUCAGCAACGCUGCGGUGAAUACGUUCCCGGGGCUUGUACACACCGCCCGUCAAGUCAUGAAAGUUGGUAACACCCGAAGCCGGUGGCCUAACCGUUGUGGGG
rnacentral:rRNA from 1 species